CUACGUGCCAGCAGCCGCGGUAAUACGUAGGUCCCGAGCGUUAUCCGGAUUUAUUGGGCGUAAAGCGAGCGCAGGCGGUUAGAUAAGUCUGAAGUUAAAGGCUGUGGCUUAACCAUAGUACGCUUUGGAAACUGUUUAACUUGAGUGCAAGAGGGGAGAGUGGAAUUCCAUGUGUAGCGGUGAAAUGCGUAGAUAUAUGGAGGAACACCGGUGGCGAAAGCGGCUCUCUGGCUUGUAACUGACGCUGAGGCUCGAAAGCGUGGGGAGCAAACAGGAUUAGAUACCCUGGUAGUCCACGCCGUAAACGAUGAGUGCUAGGUGUUAGGCCCUUUCCGGGGCUUAGUGCCGCAGCUAACGCAUUAAGCACUCCGCCUGGGGAGUACGACCGCAAGGUUGAAACUCAAAGGAAUUGACGGGGGCCCGCACAAGCGGUGGAGUAUGUGGUUUAAUUCGACGCAACGCGAAGAACCUUACCAGGUCUUGACAU
rnacentral:rRNA from 1 species